CGUCCUGUAGUUGAAUUUUUAUGACAACGUUAAAUUGCAAAUUUAAGGGUAGAUUAUUGUCUCGGGAUGU
rnacentral:tRNA from 1 species